AGAGUUUGAUCAUGGCUCAGAACGUACGCUGGCGGCACGCCUAACACAUGCAAGUCGAACGCAGUAGCAAUACUGAGUGGCAGACGGGUGAGUAACAUGUGGGAAUCUGCCUUGUGGUUCAGGACAACAUUGGGAAACCGAUGCUAAUACUGGAUAAGCCCUUACGGGGAAAGUUUUAAUGCCAUAAGAUGAGCCCGCAUUUGAUUAGUUAGUUGGUGAGGUAAUGGCUCACCAAGACAAUGAUCAAUAGCUGAUCUGAGAGGAUGAUCAGCCACACUGGGACUGAGACACGGCCCAGACUCCUACGGGAGGCAGCAGUGGGGAAUCUUGCACAAUGGAGGAAACUCUGAUGCAGCGAUGCCGCGUGAGUGAAGAAGGCCUUUGGGUUGUAAAGCUCUUUUGUAGGGGAAGAUAAUGACUGUACCCUAAGAAUAAGGUCCGGCUAACUUCGUGCCAGCAGCCGCGGUAAUACGAAGGGACCUAGCGUAGUUCGGAAUUACUGGGCGUAAAGCGCGCGUAGGCCGUUGAGUUAGUUAAUUGUGAAAUCCCAAAGCUUAACUUUGGAACUGCAAUUAAAACUGCUCGACUAGAGUUUGAUAGAGGAAAGCGGAAUACACAGUGUAGAGGUGAAAUUCGUAGAUAUUAUGUAGAACACCAGUUGCGAAGGCGGCUUUCUGGAUCAACACUGACGCUGAGGCGCGAAAGUAUGGGUAGCAAAGAGGAUUAGAUACCCUCGUAGUCCAUACCAUAAACGAUGAUUGCUAGAUGUUGGAAAUUUAUUUUCAGUAUCGCAGCUAACG
rnacentral:rRNA from 1 species